UACGGAGGGUGCAAGCGUUAUCCGGAUUCAUUGGGUUUAAAGGGUGCGCAGGCGGGAUUUUAAGUCAGUGGUGAAAGCCCCUCGCUCAACGAGGGAACUGCCAUUGAUACUGAAGUCCUUGAAUCUGGUUGACGUGGGCGGAAUGUGUCAUGUAGCGGUGAAAUGCUUAGAUAUGACACAGAACACCGAUUGCGAAGGCAGCUCACGAAGCCAGUAUUGACGCUCAGGCACGAAAGCGUGGGGAUCAAACAGGAUUAGAUACCCUGGUAGUCCACGCUGUAAACGUUGAUCACUUGACAUUGGCGAUAUACGGUCAGUGUCCCAGAGAAAUUGUUUAGUGAUCCACCUGGGGAGUACGCCGGCAACGGUGAA
rnacentral:rRNA from 1 species